GUCAUAUCACUACUUCACCGAUGAUAUUAGACAACUUAUAUAGCAUAACUUGAGUUAGAACUACAUUUCAACACUAAACCAAUAUCAUUAUCAAAUACUAAUAUAGUACUAUAAGCUACUACAUCGUACUAACAAGCAUACAUUCACAAACAUGUACGUUAUCAGAAAAGCAACUCUAAAUUUAUGUGGCAAAUUAUAAUAAUUGUAGUCAAAGGUAAAUUAGUAGUGAAUUUGUAAAAUGGGUCUGAAUAGGCUAAAGCAUCCUCAAAAUGCCAUCAUUGCCAUGUAGAGUUAAGUACAUGCACACUAAGAUAUUAUGCAAGAACUUGACAGCCUAGGCAAGCUUAGAGCUGUUAAAAUGAAGUGUUGUAUGUUGGUUAGUAACAGGCCUUUGCUUGCACGGCCAAAAAUUAUAAAAGGAACUGAUAGCAAAGGCAAGAAGUACAAAACUGAGGAAAGUUGAUAUGGAUAUCAGCAAAACAAUAAAUGUCAUACGUGUAUUAUUAUGUGUAGCGAGCUACAUAUGGCUGAUAAUUAAAUACAUCCAAAAGAAAAGGGAUCGAAAGCCAUCGUAUGUACAAAUUGUUUGAUAAACCGUGUAUAAUG